rnacentral:lncRNA from 1 species
UGAUUGAAGCUGUUAUUGUUGUACAAUCUCAUCUAUUUCCACAUAGGGGAUGUGGCCAAUCUUGGGCCAAUCAUUUCCUUUGCCCUUGAGGCACCUCUUUUUUAGAAUAGGACACUCCCGGAUUACAAGUCUUGCAAGUGUUGGUGGUAGCCCUUCCUUUGGCACAAAAGACCGGAGCUUAGGGCAACUGUAGAAUUCAAGACUUUUAAGAGACAUAAGGCUUCGGAGACCCAUGGAGGUUACGGAUUUCAAGUUGUGGAGAUUUACCAACCCGAGAGAGGUGAGAGAUGUAGGAAGAAGUAGGUGAGAGCCGGAAAAAGAAAGCAGAUCUGGGAAUGGGCCAUGAAUCCCGAGCUCAUCAAGUGAGGUGAGUGUGCGGAGGCCCCACCCAGAUAGAGGCCACCUCAUAUUCCCAUAAUCUGAAAUAAGAAGUUGUUUAAGGUUGGGGUUCAAAAACGCUUCUGGAGAGGACACCACAUCUGGACAAUUACAUAUGGUCAGAAGUCGAAGAGAUGUGAGAUUUUCCAGCAGAUUCCCUGGAAUCGACUCCAAUUGCUCGCAGUUCCAAAUGGUAAGCGUCUCAAGUGUGGAGGGAAAGUAGCCUCUCGGAAUGGACUUGAGAGAUGAACAUCCCCAUACACGUAGAUAUUCAAGACGACAAGUGUUGUUGUUGUCAAUUCCCUCAGGUAGAGACUCUAGUUUCUCACAAUUUUCAAUUAGCAGGUUCUUAAGGGUGACAGGUAGCUCCCCUUUCGGAAAGCCAAUAAGAGAUGGACAAUCUCUAAUUACCACCUGCUCAAGGGCACAACUGUCAAUCAUCAUUCCAUCAGGUAGUGUCUCUAGACCCUCACAAUUUCUCACACUAAGAUCUCUUAGCAUGGGCGGCAAACCUGUCUCUGGGAAUGACACGAGUUUCGGGCAAUUAUGAAUUAUCGUAUAUGCAAGAGAUGUGAGGGUGUGCAAUGCAUUUGGCAGCUUCUCUAAGUUGGAGCAUCCCUUCACUUCCAAGUAUUGAAGAUUGCAAGGCAGCCCUUGCUCUUCCAACGAUACAACCCCAUCACACCCAUCGAUCCAUAAACGUCGCAGACCACCAAGGUUUUCCAGUCCAAAUCCAGGCUUCCUCAAACAUGCCAACUCAUCACAUUCAGUUAUUCCCAGAUCUUCAAGGACCAUUAAGCGUUGUGCAAGCCUUUCCCAUAAACAACUCAGCCUCGAAAUUCCCCAAAUGUAUAAUUGGGUAAGUGAGGGGACAUCACCAUCCCAACUUUUUAACGACCCAACUACUAUUAAUUCAGUAAGAAGUGGAAGUCGUGGAAUUGACAUUUCCAGUUCUUGGCAUUCUCUGACAUGAAGCGUCACAAGGGAAGGUAACUCAUGAGGUAAGUUGAUCAAUUUUGGACAUCUUAUGAUUUUAAGCUCACGAAGGCAAGGAAACAAUGUUUUAGUUUCCUCAUGUCCCAAUUUGGGAAUUAACCAAUUGUUCCAUUCUGCCAUAUUCUCAAAUCUCAGAGAUUCCAAAGACUGAAAAGGGUUUGCGGUAUCCCCAUAGAACCCAUCACCUAUGCUUUUAACUUGAUUCAUUCCUUCAAUCACCAAGUCUCUGAGGAAGGUAAACCCCCAAGUGCUGGCAAUGAUGUGCAAUUUUUACAAUUUGUAAGUUCCAAACAAACCAUUUUGGAGAANNNNNNNNNNNNNNNNNNNNNNNNNNNNNNNNNNNNNNNNNNNNNNNNNNNNNNNNNNNNNNNNNNNNNNNNNNNNNNNNNNNNNNNNNNNNNNNNNNNNAUUCAGUAAGAAGUGGAAGUCGUGGAAUUGACAUUUCCAGUUCUUGGCAUUCUCUGACAUGAAGCGUCACAAGGGAAGGUAACUCAUGAGGUAAGUUGAUCAAUUUUGGACAUCUUAUGAUUUUAAGCUCACGAAGGCAAGGAAACAAUGUUUUAGUUUCCUCAUGUCCCAAUUUGGGAAUUAACCAAUUGUUCCAUUCUGCCAUAUUCCGAAAUCUUAGAGAUUCCAAAGACCGAAAAGGGUUUGCAGUAUCCCCAUAGAACCCAUCACCUAUGCUUUUAACUUGAUUCAUUCCUUCAAUCACCAAGUCUCUGAGGAAAGGUAAACCCCCAAGUGCUGGCAAUGAUGUGCAAUUUUUACAAUUUGUAAGUUCCAAACAAACCAUUUUGGAGAAGGAUGGAUCUCCUAUCCAAUGCGGGAAUUUUGAGCCACCAUAAAAUGCAAUUUCCAGUUUUUUCAAACUUUGAUGAGGUUGCAACCACUUAAGGACCUCUAUCUCAGUACUUUCAUUCCUUGAAUUACCAGAAUCUUCACUCCAUACCAUAAUUAAGUCUUCAAUAUUUGGUAUCUCCUUCAAAUUGACAUACAUUGCAUCUCUUGGAUCCGAAACAUUUUCCAACCCUAAAAUGGCAAGCUCUCCUCGAAGAUUCAACAAGUUCUUCAAUUCUUUUAUUCGUGGCCCAUUAUCUUUGCUUAGAAAAAACUUAGACAAUGUUUGCAAAUUUACCAAGCUUCCAACUUGUGGAGGCAUCUCUUCCAACAUAGUUGAACCACUAAUAUCAAGAUGUCGAAGAUUGGUUAAAUUCAUAAUGCAAAUAGGCAACUUAAUGAGUUCCAUACAAUUGCAUAAUAUCAAUGAUUGUAAAUUGUAGAGACUACUCACUGCUUCAGGUAACCAUUUGAGUUUAGUAUGAGACAAAUUAAGAUACCGUAAA